CCUANGGGAGGCAGCAGUGGGGAAUCUUGCACAAUGGGGGCAACCCUGAUGCAGCGACGCCGCGUGAGCGAUGAAGCCCUUCGGGGUGUAAAGCUCUUUCGGCAGGGAAGAUUAUGACGGUACCUGCAGAAGCAGCUGCGGCUAACUACGUGCCAGCAGCCGCGGUAAUACGUAGGCAGCAAGCGUUGUUCGGAGUUACUGGGCGUAAAGGGUGUGUAGGCGGUUUUCUAAGUUUGGUGUGAAAUCUCCCGGCUUAACUGGGAGGGUGCGCCGAAAACUGGAAAGCUAGAGUACUGGAUGGGAGAGUGGAAUUCCUGGUGUAGCGGUGAAAUGCGUAGAUAUCAGGAGGAACACCUGUGGUGUAGACGGCUCUCUGGACAGUCACUGACGCUGAGACACGAAAGCGUGGGUAGCAAACAGGAUUAGAUACCCCUNUANUC
rnacentral:rRNA from 1 species